rnacentral:rRNA from 1 species
CCUACGGGAGGCAGCAGUGGGGAAUAUUGCACAAUGGGCGAAACUCUGAUGCAGCGACGCCGCGUGAGCGAUGAAGGCUUUCGGUAUGUAAAGCUCCAUUAGUAGGGGAGAAAAUGACGGUACCUGACUAAGAAUGCACGUCUAACUACGUUCCAGCAGCGGUGGUACUACGUAGGCGGCAGACGUUAUCCGGAUUCACUGGGUGUUAAGGGGACGUAGACGGUUCUGCAAGCCAGCUGUGAAAGCCCGGGGCUCAACCCCGGAACUGCAUUUGAAACUGUAAGGCUAGAGUGUCGGAGAGGUAGGCGGAAUUCGUAGUGUAGCGGUGAAAUGCGUAGAUAUUAGGAAGAACACCGAUGGCGAAGGCAGCCUGCUGAACGAUGACUGACGUUGAGGCUCGAAAGCGUGGGGAGCAAACAGGAUUAGAUACCCUGGUAGUC